GACACACCGGCCUGCUCAAAUUGAAAGCAAGAACGCAAACUUUUUUACAUAAAAUGUUGGACUAGUUAAGUUUUGAUUACUAAUUAACCUUAUAAUCGAUAAUACAAUUAAAAUUAAAUGCCAUACAUGGAAAUACUAACUUUUCAAUUCAUGACCUUGGCAAGACCAUAGCCUUUAAAGGAUUCUUCAUCACAACGGUGAAUGCAAAAGUUUCAGUCGGGUCGGGUGGAGAAGCCGGAUCCGGUAACCACUUGAAAGCAUGCACCAUCCUAGCAAGCAUCAAUUGGACAUGUAAUGUACCCAGACUCCACGCCGGGCAAAUCCGCCGGCCGGCUCCAAAUGGCACCAUCUUCACCCCACGAGUUCCCGUUACAUCCACAUCAACACCAUCACCUUCCAAGAAUCUCUCAGGUCGGAAUUCUUCCGGGUCCUUCCACAUAUCUGGAUCCUCAGUCACCCAUGCAGUGUAAAGCUCCACGUUAACACCCACCGGAAUUGUAUAGCCUCCGAGUUCUGUCUCCUUAGUUGCGGCAUGAGAUAACAAGAAGUGGCUCGGUGGGUGUCGCCGGAGAGUUUCUUUAACGAUAGCUCCAAGAUAAGGCAAUUUCUCAACAUCCUCUUCUUUAACCAAUCCUUCUUUGCCAACACACCCAACAAUUUCUUUGUACAACUUGUCUUGAAUCUCUUGGUUCUGCACCAAAUGAAGCAGCGCCCAUUCAAUGAUUGUUGCACUAGUGUCAGUUCCAGCACUAAUGACCUCAGAGCACAGUGUCACAAAUUCUUGCUCUCCUAAUGGGCCUCUAGGAGCCGGUUUCAGCUCAAACAGCGAGUCUAUAUAAGCGGCGCCAACUGGACUCACCAUUUCUAAGUUGGGGUUUUCACCUUUCUCCACAAAAGCUCUUCUGUUUCUUAUCAAUGGAAGCAAGCACUCCAUCUGUUUCUUCCUCAGUUCCUUGGCUUCUUUCAUUUGCCUGCGAAACAAAGGAGCAAGAACCGGCAAGAAAUCUGGGAGCUUUAGUGUUGUCAUUAGCAUAACCUCUUUUAGUAUGCUUUCUAUAUUCUUUAUCCUAUCCUCAGAGAUUCUUGCUCCAAAGCAAAUGCAUAUUAGGAUGCUGCAUAUAGAGAGCCUGCAGUUGUUCAUUACCUCAACAGACCCAUUUUCAAGGGCCUCCCUUUUGAUCCUUUUCAUGUGAUUCUCCGAUGCCCAUUGUCUUAUCCAGCUGCAUUGCUUGAUUCUCAUCGGGCUUGUCACCUCAGUGACAAAGUUCCGGCGAAGAGUUCGC
rnacentral:misc_RNA from 1 species